UUAUUCGAUUUUUACAAAUUCUGAUAGCAAAUCCCAGCAUAAAUAUUUCAGCAUUUAGUUGAAAGUUUUACUUCUUUGUUAGAAGCUAGGUCUGCUAAUAUUAAUUAAUUAGACAUUUCGAGUUCGAGUAAUUAGAUUGGUAUAAGGAAAAAUCUCUGCAGUCCUAUUGUUGAUACCGAUCAUACAUAUUAAUACAUAAAUAUCAAAAAGACCAAAUUGUAAGGUGUUCUCGACAAAAUGGUACUACCUACAACUUCGAAGAAUAACAGGACUCAACAACCGCAGAAGUUAAAUGAAAAGAAGCCCUCUCGUGAGAUCAAGUGUCCAGUUUGCAUGACUGUAUUUGGAAAACAAUCUGAUAUAUAUUUAACAAAGUGCGGUCAUUUGUUUUGCAAAAGAUGUAUGAACUCGUGGAUUACAACAAACCCGCAUAAACCAAAUUGUCCGGUAUGCAAAGCAAAUAUUGCUAACGGAAGCCUUAGAACAAUAUUUUAUUGAGUUUAUAGCAAUUUUAUAUAUUUUAUACAAUGCCAUUUAAUUACCCAAAUUAAAAUGUAAACACUAUUUUAUAUUUACACGUUGUUAAUUAAUAAACCAACUUUUGA